rnacentral:rRNA from 1 species
AUAAUUUUGUCUUACUUUAUUUUUUUUUGUAUUUUAUGAGAAAUAUCUUUAUAUUUAGUAUGUUAAAGAAAUAUUUGUUUUUGUUAUAGUAUAUUAGUACUGUUAAGGAAUUGAUGAAAUAGUUUAAAUUUGAAUUUUUCAUAAGUAUGUUUGAUUUACAGUACCUUUUGUAUCAGGGUUAAUCAAAUAAAUUAAUUUAUAUUUAUAUCUCGAUUUCAAAAGAGCUAAAGUGUUAUUUUAGUUAAUGUGUCAUAAUUAUUUAUAAUACAUUUUAGUAGAGAAAUUUUAUUCGUUUUUGAGGGUAUCUAGUUUUUUAAGAAUUAAAUUUAAUUUAUCUUUAUUAUUUAACUGUUAUAUUUUUAUUUAAGUUAUUUAUUAAAGGAGAAAUUAUAGGGGAUAAGCUCUAUACUUUUCUAUAAUAUUUUUAUUAAUAAAUUUUGGUAGGUUUAAAAUUAUCCAUCUUUAGUGAGUUUGUUAUAAAUUAUGUUUUCAAUUAAUUAAUUUUGUUUUUUUUAGAAUAUUAUUAAAAUACCAUAAAUAAUUAAUUAUUUUGGGAAAUAAUGAUUAAAUUAGUAUAAAAAUAUGUUUAUUAUUUUAUAACCUUUAUGAUAAAGUAAGGAACUCGGCAAAUAUAGUUCUCGCCUGUUUAACAAAAACAUGUCCUUUUGAAUUUAAUUGAAGGUCUGACCUGCCCAGUGAUGAAUUUAACGGCCGCGGUAUACUGACCGUGCAAAGGUAGCAUAAUCAUUAGUCUUUUAAUAGAGGGCUGGAAUGAAUGGUUUAACGAGGAACUGACUGUCUCACUUUAUUUGUUUUAAAAUUUAAUUUUUUAGUUAAAAAGCUAAAAUUCUAUUGGAAGACGAGAAGACCCUAUAGAUCUUUAUAUAAUUUAUUAUAAUCAUUUUUAUAUCAAUGUGAUUAUAUUAGCUUGUAUUUUGUUGGGGUGACAAAAAUAUAUAAUUAACUUUUCUAUUUAUUUACCAUUGAUAUAUGAAUAUUAGAUCCAUUACUAGUGAUUGUUAGAUUAAGUUACCUUAGGGAUAACAGCGUAAUCCUCCUCCAGAGUUCAUAUUUACAGGAAGGGCUUGCGACCUCGAUGUUGGAUUAAGAUAAUAGUUAGGUGUAGCCGCUUAAUUUAUAGGUCUGUUCGACCUUUAAACCCUUACA